rnacentral:misc_RNA from 1 species
UACGAGGAUGUCAAGCGUUAUCCGGAAUCAUUGGGCGUAAAGCGUGCGCAAGCGGCUUGGAAAGUUACCUGUUAAAUCCCAUGGCUUAACCAUGGAAUCGCGGGUAAAACUUCCAAGCUUGAGGUUAGGAGAGGCUAACGGAAUUCCCGGUGUAGUAGUGAAAUGCGUUGAUAUCGGGAGGAACACCAAAAGCGAAAGCAGUUAGCUGGCCUAUACCUGACGCCGUUGCACGACAGUGUGGGGAGCAAACGGG